rnacentral:rRNA from 1 species
CAGUGCCACGGGAAUACGUAGGGGGCUAGCGUUAUCCGGAAUUACUGGGCGUAAAGGGUGCGUAGGUGGUUUCUUAAGUCAGAGGUGAAAGGCUACGGCUCAACCGUAGUAAGCCUUUGAAACUGAGAAACUUGAGUGCAGGAGAGGAGAGUAGAAUUCCUAGUGUAGCGGUGAAAUGCGUAGAUAUUAGGAGGAAUACCAGUUGCGAAGGCGGCUCUCUGGACUGUAACUGACACUGAGGCACGAAAGCGUGGGGAGCAAACAGGAUUAGAUACCCCCGUAGUCCCUGUCUCUUAUACAU